UGAAGAAUCAUUUUAGUUAUUGUAAAUUUUUGAUUUAAUUUUUUUAACGAUAGUUUAUUUGUACUGUGAAGGGUUUAUUUGUUUAUUGUUUUUUUGGAAGUAGAUUUUGUUUUUCGUACCUUGUGUAUCAGGGUUCAUUGAAUUUUAUUAUUUAUUUUUAUUUCCCGAUUUAUAAGGAGUUAAUAAUUUGUUUUAUUUACUGUUUCAUUAGUAUUAAUAACAUGUUGUUGGUAGUGAAAUGUUAUUCGUCUUUUAUGGUUUCUGGUUUCUUGAGAAAUGAAUUUAAUUCAUGUGUUUUAUUUAAUUUCUGUAUUUAUUUACAUUUAAUGUUUUAUUUUAUACUAAGAUUAAGGGGGAUUAGCUCCUUGUUUUAUAAUUAUAAUUUAUUUAAUUAAUUUAGUUUUGUGGAUUUUAUAUUGAUUUUCAAUUUGAUUAUGUUAAAAUUUUAUUUGUUCUUUUUUUUUAUUUUGUUUUAUUUAAUUUAUUUAUUGGGAUGUUUACUUUUGUUUUUAUUGUAUAAUAAUUAUUGUGUAAUUAGUAAAUUUUUCUUUUUGUGUUGUUGAUUUAUUUUGGUGAUAAUUUCUUUUAAGGAAUUCGGCAAAGUUUUAUGCCCGCCUGUUUAACAAAAACAUCUUUUCUUGUUAGUUUUUGAAGUAUGGCCUGCCCACUGAUUUAUUUGUUGAAGGGCCGCGGUAUUUUGACCGUGCAAAGGUAGCAUAAUCAUUAGUUCUUUAAUUGUGAUCUGGUAUGAAUGGCUUGACGAGGUAUAAUCUGUCUUGAUUGUAUUGUUGAUUGAAUUUAGUUUUUGAGUUAAAAUUCUUAAAUGUUUUUAUGGGACGAGAAGACCCUAUAGAGUUUUACAUUUAUUUCUUCAUUAUUUUUAUUUGUUUGUUUUUAUUGUAAAGUUGUUUGAAUGUUUUGUUGGGGUGAUGGGAGGAAUUUUUUUAACUCCUCUUUGUUUUUAUACACUUAUUUGUGUUUUUUUGAUCCAUUUGUUUUGAUUAUAAGAUUGAAUUACCUUAGGGAUAACAGCGUUAUCUUCCUUGAGAGUUCUUAUUGGCGGGAAGGUUUGCGACCUCGAUGUUGGAUUAAGAUUAAUUUUCGGUGCAGAAGCUGAAAUUGAUUAGGUCUGUUCGACCUUUAAAAUCUUACAUGAUCUGAGUUCAGACCGGCGUGAGCCAGGUUGGUUUCUAUCUAUAAAUUUUUGUUAUAUCUUAGUACGAGAGGACCGGAUAUUUGGAAUAAUUUUGUUUUUAUUGGAUAUUGUUAAUACGUUU
rnacentral:rRNA from 1 species